GAUGAACGCUGGCGGCGUGCCUAAUACAUGCAAGUCGAGCGAAUGGAUUAAGAGCUUGCUCUUAUGAAGUUAGCGGCGGACGGGUGAGUAACACGUGGGUAACCUGCCCAUAAGACUGGGAUAACUCCGGGAAACCGGGGCUAAUACCGGAUAACAUUUUGAACCGCAUGGUUCGAAAUUGAAAGGCGGCUUCGGCUGUCACUUAUGGAUGGACCCGCGUCGCAUUAGCUAGUUGGUGAGGUAACGGCUCACCAAGGCAACGAUGCGUAGCCGACACGGGGGGGAGACCGGCCACACUGGGACUGAGACACGGCCCAGACUCCCACGGGGGGCAGGAGGAGGGAAGCUUCGGAAAAGGACGAAAGUCGGACGGGGGAACGCCGCGUGAGAGAUGAAGGCUUUCGGGUCGUAAAACUCUUUUGUUAGGGAAGAACAAGUGCUAGUUGAAUACGCUGGCACCUUGACGGUACCUAACCAGAAAGCCACGGCUAACUACGUGCCAGCAGCCGCCGUAA
rnacentral:rRNA from 1 species